rnacentral:rRNA from 1 species
AUACGGAGGGUGCAAGCGUUACUCGGAAUCACUGGGCGUAAAGCGCGCGCAGGCGGUCUUUUAAGUUGGAUGUGAAAGCCUACGGCUCAACCGUAGAACUGCAUCCAAAACUAUUAGACUAGAGUGUGGGAGAGGAAGAUGGAAUUAGUUGUGUAGGGGUAAAAUCCGUAGAGAUAACUAGGAAUACCAAAAGCGAAGGCAAUCUUCUGGAACACUACUGACGCUGAGGCGCGAAAGCGUGGAGCAAACAGGAGUAGAAACCCCAGUAGUCC